CCCUAUGGGCGGGCCGUGCGGGGAGGGGAAACCCUCACCAGCCCUUGGACUGGCACGCCAACCCGCACGGUUCCGCCCACCCCG
rnacentral:antisense_RNA from 1 species